rnacentral:lncRNA from 1 species
UGAGCAUCUAUUAUGUGAAAACACAGUAACAGUAGUUCAUCUUUUGAUAUGAGUACAUAAUUGCCAUUCAGUAAGUGAUUUGGCUAAUUAAGUUAUUGUUUUUUCUUACUAUCUGAGAAAAUUUCUCUCUACAGAAAAGCAUAUUUAUAAACUGAUAUGACUGAUUAACAUUUGCCACAUGACAAACAAAAUAUUUCCCCCUUUCUGUCCAAGGAAAGAAUACCUCAGGCUCCCUGCAUUGAUUUGGGAGAAGAAUAACUUCCCACAUUUCCAAGCCCAGUUUCUACAAAUGAGGUUUAAAAAAAAAAGAAGUGGGAGAUUUGAGUUUACAUUUUCUUGUCAUCAAGAUGGAAAGUAUUGUUUUUUAUUAGAAAAGACCCUGAUGCUGGGAAAGAUUGAAGACAAGAGGAGAAGACGGGGACAACAGAGGAUGAGAUGUUUGGAUGUCAUCACUGACUCAAUGGACAUGAGUUUGAGCAAGCUCCAGGUGAUGGUGAAGGACAGGGAAGCCUGGCGUGUUCUAGUUCAUGGGAUCACAAAGAGUUAGAUGUGACUGAAAAGCUGAACAACAAUUGGUUUUUAUUAUUUAAAAUAAC